rnacentral:rRNA from 1 species
CUGACCUGCCCGGUGAUUAAUUUAACGGCCGCGGUAUACUGACCGUGCAAAGGUAGCAUAAUCAUUAGUCUUUUAAUAGAGGGCUGGAAUGAAAGGUUUAACGAGGAAUUGACUGUCUCAUUUUAUUUGUUUUAAAAUUUAAUUUUUUAGUUAAAAAGCUAAAAUUUCAUUGGAAGACGAGAAGACCCUAUAGAUCUUUAUAAAACUAUAAUUAGUUAUUAUUAUAUUAAUAUAAUUAAUUAUAUUUUUAUUUUGUUGGGGUGACAAAAAUAUAUGAUAAACUUUUUUAUUUAUAUAACAUUGAUUUAUGAUUAUAGGAUCCAUUAUUAGUGAUUAUUAGAUUAAGUUACCUUAGGGAUAACAGCGUAAUCCUCCUCCAGAGUUCAUAUUUACAGGAUGGGCUUGCGACCUCGAUGUUGGAUUAAGAUAAUAGUCAGGUGUAGCCGCUUGAUUUAUAGGUCUGUUCGACCUUUAA